CUUAAUGAGAGUUUGAUCCUAGCUCAGGGUGAAUGCUGGCGGCGUGGAUAAGUCAUGCAAGUCGAACGCUGGAAACCGGAGAACAGAGUCCGGAAGCCAGAAGGAUAUAUACUCAACACAUGAACUAUCGUGAAUUGGAGGUGUAUAAACGUGCGAAUAUAUUGUUUCCACAAAUCUAUCGCUUGGUCAGGUCUUGGAAACAGAUUGACCAGCGGGAGAUCGGGAGCCAGAUGAUUCGUGCGGCAAAUUCCAUUCAUGCAAACCUUGCCGAAGGAAGUACGAAAUCCGUUGCGGACUUCAAACGGUAUCUCGGUAAUGCAAUCGGUUCGUGUGAUGAACUUGUGAGCCAUAUCACCGAUGCGGUGAAUAUUGACCUUAUGAGUAAAACUGCGGGCAAUAAGUUGAUCGACGAAUAUCGAAUCGUCGGUAAACAGCUUAUGCGCCUUAAGCAGAAUUGGAAGUAACGUCUUUCCGGUUUCUGGUUUCCGUUCUCCGGUUUCUAGAGUGGCAGACGAGGUAGUAACACGUAGGUAGAUCCCCCGAAGUCGGGCAUAGCCAGCCGAAAGGUUGGGUAAUUCCCGAUAGUCCCCGUGAGAUAAGAGUUUCGGAUAGAGAAAUUAUAGUUGCGAAGUCAGCAAACUUUCGUAAUUUGUUUCAAUAUCGGGAGUUGUUAUCUCACGGGGUAAAGGUUUUUCGCUUCGGGAGUUGCCUGCGUAGUAUCAGCUAGUUGGUAGGGUAACGGCCUACCAAGGCUACGACGCUUAGGGGAGCUGAGAGGCUGACCCCCACCGAU
rnacentral:ncRNA from 1 species